rnacentral:rRNA from 1 species
GUAAGGAAUAUUGGACAAUGGGCGAAAGCCUGAUCCAGCCAUGCCGCGUGAGUGAUGAAGGCCUUAGGGUUGUAAAGCUCUUUUAGAUGGGAAGAUAAUGACUGUACCAUCAGAAUAAGCCCCGGCUAAAUUCGUGCCAGCAGCCGCGGUAAUACGAAUGGGGCAAGCGUUGUUCGGAAUCACUGGGCGUAAAGCGUGUGUAGGCGGUCUAUCAAGUCAGGAGUGAAAUCCCAGGGCUCAACCCUGGAAUUGCUCUUGAAACUGAUAAGCUAGAGUACUGGAGAGGUUAGCAGAAUUCCGAGUGUAGAGGUGAAAUUCGCAGAUAUUCGGAGGAAUACCAGUGGCGUAAGCGGCUAACUGGACAGUAACUGACGCUGAGACACGAAAGCGUGGGGAUCAAACAGGAUUAGAUACCCUAGUAGUCC